rnacentral:rRNA from 1 species
AAUGAACGCUGGCGGCAUGCCUAACACAUGCAAGUCGAACGAAGGCUUCGGCCUUAGUGGCGCACGGGUGCGUAACGCGUGGGAAUCUGCCCUCCGGUUCGGAAUAACAGCGAGAAAUUGCUGCUAAUACCGGAUGAUAUCGCGAGAUCAAAGAUUUAUCGCAUGAGGAUGAGCCCGCGUAGGAUUAGCUAGUUGGUGUGGUAAAGGCGCACCAAGGCGACGAUCCUUAGCUGGUCUGAGAGGAUGAUCAGCCACACUGGGACUGAGACACGGCCCAGACUCCUACGGGAGACAGCAGUGGGGAAUAUUGGACAAUGGGCGAAAGCCUGAUCCAGCAAUGCCGCGUGAGUGAUGAAGGCCUUAGGGUUGUAAAGCUCUUUUACCCGGGAUGAUAAUGACAGUACCGGGAGAAUAAGCUCCGGCUAACUCCGUGCCAGCCGCCGCCGUAA